rnacentral:rRNA from 1 species
UACGGGGGGGGGGCAAGCGUUUGUUCGGAAUUACUGGGCGUAAAGGGCGCGUAGGCGGCGUGUUAAGUCAGCUGUGAAAUCUCCAAGCUCAACUUGGAACGGCCAGCUGAUACUGAUGUGCUAGAGUGCAGAAGGGGCAAUCGGAAUUCUUGGUGUAGCGGUGAAAUGCGUAGAUAUCAAGAGGAACACCUGAGGUGAAGACGGGUUGCUGGGCUGACACUGACGCUGAGGCGCGAAAGCCAGGGGGAGCAAACGGG